ensembl:lncRNA
AUUCAUGAGAGCUAGAGAGCAGAGCAGACGGCUCCUUAUGCUUUCGGAUCGCUCUCGCACCUACUUUGCUGUCUUUUUUUUUUUUUUUUUUGAGCAGUGACGAUUCUAUCGAACGAACGAACGAACACGUGCGCAUAUUGCAUCGCUUUGAUUGUUCCAUGUAGAUCUCGCCUUCUCACGCGCAGCCCCACGAUUGGUCGAUUAUGUAUAAUACCUGCAUGUUAUUGGUCAAACUGCUUUGGACGUUUUAGGCAAUAUUAAAAUCUGGCCGGGACGUGUCCCGUAUGAACGGCGCAUAUGGUCACCCUACAGUAGCUGCUCUAAAGAUUUUGAUCCUUUGACUAUUAAUCAAGUGGCUACAGUUCUGUGUUACUGGAGUGCAAGUAUAGUCCCGCUGCCCUGGACUUUAAAGAGGAAGCGUUGUAUGAAGUCUCCCGUUCGUCUGCCUGGUUUCUCGUCAUCGCUGUUCGUCUGACCCUGGAACCCCGUCCACUCUUCACCACCGGAUGCCACUACUCACCACCACGGACUGCUCAUCUCAGGCCUGUGUCACGCUCUCCUGCUGCCUCACCUCACCGCCACUUCCGGGAUCACCGUCAGUCAUCACCGCGACCAUCUGUUGUUCCCCCUGGAUUUAUUUGUAUACCGGACUUUAAUAAACCUAUUUGUUUCACUCUUGCACUUGCUUCCUCACCCUUUGUUACUGUUACAAUAAGCAUAAAUAGCGUUUUAAGGUACAGAGUACCAAAAGGAGGGAAAAAUAGGCCAUUAGUAAAUCUAGACGCUAUAGCUAUUGAUGAUUUAUCCCUCACAAUAGAAUGGAAAAACUGGAAAAAAACUGGUUUAAGAUAAAGGAUUAAUAACUAUUAUUUGGGAUUAAAUUGGAUGAAGGCCAGUAUUUGUAAUAGUAGUGUAGAAAUACUAGGUGAUCAGAUUAAAGUAGGCCCGAAAUGGUACGAAGAACGAGGUGAAUUUAUCCGAACUGGUUACGAAGGAGUUAAAAAGGCCGCAGUCUUUGACUUUGUUUCAAAAGACGUGGAUAGGAUGGACUGAUUUUCUGGUUAACGCAGGAUGGUAUAUCCUCCACGGAGGGUUGAUUAUAAUAGGAUUAAUGAUGAUGUUCACCGGAGUAAAAUGUUUUUGUAAUGUAGAAGGUCAAAGAAUGUGCUCUGGUAAACCAAACAGAGAUGAUAAAUUAGCUGUCUUAGAAAGUUUCUUAGAUUUCCAAACUAAGAGGUAUAAACGAUUUAAGAGGAGAAAAAAGAAGCAACGACAGGAAGCAUUUGCUAUUAGAGGCAGCUGCUAAAAAGGGAAACGAUGUUGGAAGAGAGUGAGUUAUGAGAGGAAGUAGGAGGAGAGUGCAGACGUAGAAUAGAGUAGAAAAAUGGGGGAUAUGAACAGACAAGCUUACUCACCAAGGAUAACCUAAACUACUGGGGAUUUUUGAUAUACUUUUUGUAUAUUGUUGAAAACAAGUUGUUACAGUCUCCAAGUCCAUCAGAGAUCGAGAUUUGAUAGAGAUAAAAGAAUGGCAACUGUAAGGAUCCACCCGCCGGCCCAAAAAGCGGAAUCCAGCGGCCUGGUCGAAGGUUUAAUGCGUAUUCGGUCUUUUAUUUGCGCUUCUGAAUUUAUCAGGAUUUAGUUUGAAUUUUAGUCUAGCUCCAUGUUUAAUCUGACUCCAAUUUUAUGUGAUCAUUAAAUUUGGGCAAUAUUUCUAUCAAAAGCUGAUCACAGUUAUCGAUUGUUUAUUAAUUUAGAUAUUUGAGUAUUCUGAAAAUCCCAUACUUUCAAUUAUUCGUUCACUGCAGACCAGGUAUUGCUUUAGAAGUAACAUUUCGGCCGAUUGAAUGCUCUUCCCGGACACAAACUCGUCAGUCUGAUCUUAAACAUUGGAUGCAGGGUAAAUAUCUACCUUUAAGUCGGUCGCGCCCUGCUUACUCGUACAAAAAGCAUAGUUUUUAUAUAUUUACGAAAACUGCAACUUAUUUAAGACAGUGAUAGUCAGAAAUUGAAAUGGACUCAAUUGAUGUGCCCCGUGCUCCAUCUAUUAAACCUUUCGUAUGAACAAUCCUGAACACAGAUUUGAGGUAAUACCUUCGCUUUAAUCUACUAGUAAUAAUGAAUUAAGAAUAAUGCAGAAUAAAUCAAAUAUAACAAUUUAUUAUCA